rnacentral:misc_RNA from 1 species
AGUGUAUUUACUCGGAGUCCGGAUGCACCAUUACUAGUGAAUGGCAAUAUCAGCAAAUCAUUCAAGUCUGUUUGUGAUGAAUUAUAAACAUUCCAUUGAAAUUAUGAUAAGUUCAGAUGUGCAGUCAAUGAAACCUGGAAAAUGACUGUAUCUUUGACAACUUAGAGAGUAAAAAUUCUUGGUAAUAUCUAGUCAUUAGAUGCUAUAUUUAUUAAAAGAAAAAAUAUAAAG